ensembl:lncRNA
UAUGUUGACUGCUUCCAAUGUUGUGUUGGUCAAACUGUAGAAUGAUUUAUUGCUUGUUAAGUGAAUAAUACUGAACAUAAGGAACAUUAAAAGGGAAAUCACAUACCAAAUCGCAAUCGCAAUAUUGGUCGACAUGAUCGCAAUCCGAUAAUUUCCCCAAAUGGUUGAGCCUUGGUCCUGACCCAGCAGAACUUUGUGCCUCAGGGCGUCCUCCACGACACGGACAUGAUGGGCGUCAUCCCCUGCAUCGUCCAGGACAUCUUCAACUAUCUACUCCAUGGACGAGAACCUGGAGUUCCACGUCAAAAGCCAAGGAGAUCGACAUCGCAGCCACGCUGGAACAUCUCCGAGACCAGAGACCUGCCAUGGUCCAGACCAAGGUAGACAGAGUCUCUCUCUCUCUCUCUUAUAUAUAUAUAUAUAUAUAUAUAUAUAUAUAUAUAUAUAUGUAUGUAUGUAUGUAUGUAUGUAUGUAUGUAUGUAUGUAUGUAUGUGUGUAUGUGUGUGUGUGUGUGUGUGUGUGUGUGUGUGUGUGUGUGUGUGUGUGUGUGUGUAAAACAACAAACUGAUAUUAUAUUACUCCUAUAUAUAUGUGUGUGUAUAUAUAUAUAUAAUGUAUGUAUAUAUAAUAUUAUAUAUACUUAUAAUAAUGAAGCAGCCUUAAACCCCAGCCCACGGGAACGAGAAACUUUCUGAUUGGUUCCCAUCUGGGCCCGUUGAUGUCCUUUAGCAGCUUGAACCAAUCCGAGGCCGUCUGCUGUGUCUGUGGGUUGGUUUAAGAUUUGGAGACGCUGUAAUAUUUAUUCCUUCAUGAGAAAAUGAUAACGUUAGCAAUUAUGUCAACAUCAAUGUAAAUACAAACGACAGAGCUAUAUCAUAUAUGUAACUGAAAUAUAUAUGUAUAUAUUAAUGUUAUGAAUAUACAUAUAUAAUCAUAUAUAUGUAUAACAAACUGAUAUAAAUAUAUGCAUAAAUAUAGUUGUUCCACCUUGUACAGUAGGCCUAUGUCAAUAAUUAUUGUCAUCAUGUGAACCGUGUCUCCAACCGACCACUCUAGACCGAACACAUACCAUAGACUUAUUUGAAUAGUGAUAUGUAAAUUACAUAUUCUGUUCCCCGAAUAAAACCCGAUAUAUUUUGUGUGGGGAUUGAUAAUAAAUAAAACUACAGAUGAAAUCAUGUCGCUGUCGUUUGAUCGUGUUACUUCACGGAGCCGGCCCUGAGCUCAGCGAGGUCCUGACCUUUAUAGACGACGCAAAACACAAAUAAUCAACGGGUCUUUUAUUGUCAGUGUUCAUCAUUACAUGGAGGUGAGUUUACAUAAGAACGGACUUCGAGGAUCUUAACAAUGUCAAUAUUUAACCUAAAAUGUAACGCUAGCGCAAUUUCUUAUUUCACUGGCAGUGGCACUAAAUGAUUAAUCGAUUGGAAAAGAUUAUUAAGCAUAGGACGUUUGUUUGUGGGGACCCCGGUUUAUAUCGCUAGAGGCUAAAUGGAAAGUUUUAUUGUCUUUGUUCUUUGUUCAUCAUUGCAUGGAGGUGAGUUUACACAAGAACGCAAUUAUUUUUCUUGCUAAGCCACCGAAGAAGUGUGUGUGUGUGCGAAUCCGCUUCCACUGUGGAGGGAAGACUGGAAUGAGUCACUUUGUCACGUUUGUCAGAAAGGGUUAAAUCCUUAUUCAUUGAGGAGAUGCAGAUUCGUACAUGAAGGCGGCUGGUCCAUGCUUAACCGUCGUCGUCGGCGCGGUCAGGCGGCCAGUCAACCUCCGGGUCCAGCAGGUCCUCCUCCGGGGCCAGCAGGUAGGCCUACUCCUCCGGGGCCAGCAGGUCCUCCUCCGGGUCCGGUUGCUCCGGGACGGUGGACUCAGAACCUCUGGUCUCGUGGCGGGAGUGGAGAGCCAUUCAGCCGCUGAGGGAAACCUUUCAUUCGAGCGAGCGCUGCGCAACAGGUGGUUCGGCCGGAACCAGACCGCUGAUAAUUAGCUCUAUUUUUCAGACACAAAUUACACAUUAACAUUAACACAUUGAAGAACUGAAAUUCUCUCACGUUCUUUAGCUGACUUUACAUGCUAAUUUGGGAAUUGUUUGCCUUCCAUUAUCUUUGGAGGCCUUUUUGGUUGCGUCUAUUUUACUGCACCUUAUAGCCUGUCUGCAAAAAACUUUCUUUAGGUGUGAUCGGCUCCUCUGAAGCUGCUGUUCACUUCCAGACUCUCCUCGUACCUCAGUACCUCAGCAGUCCUGCGGAGGGCGCUACUGCGCCUCUCGCUGUAUCACAAUCACGUUUCAUGCACUUUAAUACAUUGUAUUAAAUUUGCUUUUUCAUUCAAUGUAAAGUGUAAAGUGUUUUUAUAUUUUUGUAUACGACUAGUCUAAACGUUGACUCUGGUUAAAGUGCAGAAAAACAAAGAUAACCAAAAAGGAACCCAAAGAUAUGGAGGAAAAACCAUUCCUUAAUGAUCUUCAGUCAUCCAAUCGGCGAGAGAAAGUUAUAUUUAUUUAAAGAUGACCGAGAUCCAUGGAUCAAGAGAGACUGCUUUUCUAUAGGGCCCAGACUUUUGUGCUAAAACCCUGUGCGGCUUCCACAAACAGAGGACAGAAAUAGUCUAUGAAUGUUUUUGUUUGAAAAUGAAUGACAUCUUCAUAUUUUUUUUUCAAUUGCCCCGAAGCUCCGUUGAUCUUCGGGGCAUUUAAAAAGUCAGAAAAACACACAAAAAAAAGUGUCAGAUUUGUAAAAAAAUAAAAAACAGAUACGGAUAUCUAGGUUAUACAUAAGGUUUGAUUUUUCUUUUGUUGUGUGAUUUCAUACUGCAUCCAGACCAUCAUUAUAUAUUCCUCUACCUGUGUACAUACCCUGCACAUACUAUUUUAGUGUAAUAGUAAUGUAAGCAUUCUUGUUUAAUAAAAGAAGGCUACUCACUUGAUCAGAAGCGCACACAAGGAGAGAGGCAGGACGGUUUGGUGGUGAGGAUAAUAUUGAGCGCUUGUAUAUAUAGGCUACACAAGCAUUGUGGGCCGGCCAAUGCAGGGCUGCAGGCAGCGGAGGAAUGUGUGCGAUUCGGAUCCACUCCGCACACACCUUGUUGCAGAGUGCGGAGUGGGGCACUAAAAUAAAACUUCCGGGUCCAACCGCUCCGUCGAACAUCAAAACAAAAAACAACGAUGGCUGAACCAGUGAACCUUUUUACGAUUACUUCUUUCUUCAGUGAGACACCUGAAAGAGUAAAGAAAGGGUUGAAUUCGUUUCACUCCAACAGAGUGGUCAGUGUGGCUGUUUUGCCUCGGGGAGUUAUAAAGGGUAGCGUCCAGGCAUCACAGAAAAAGAAAGUUUACGAGGUUGAGGUGAGUUGGAAGUUAGCCGUUGACAUCUAGGCUAGUUGACAUCUAAUUAAACGUUAAAGAUGAUACGUUAUUCCAUGGGUGCCAUGCCGUAAUUCCGACGCCUCAUUGUUCCGACGUCUCAAUGGUCCGAAAUAUUUCCCAUUAGAUCGACAUGGCACUAUGCUGACGGUUCAAUGUUCCGAAAACGGAACCCAUUGGUCCGAAGGUCCGUUUGUCCGACUUUUAAAAAAGGAGGCGCAUUAGGCCGACGGUUCAAUAUGCCGAAUAGUCCGAGGCUCAAUUCCACAUGUGUGAUUAUGAAACCAAAGAUAAAAGACGAUGUAGGCUAAGUUCCAGCAGUGCACUUCACCAAGGCAGACUGUUGCUGUGGGCUUGAACGGUCACAAGAGGUGAAUUUAUGAAGCGCACGUUAUACAAGGACUAAUACUUUUCCCGUAAAGAAGUCAAACGGUGAGUGAAAAACAAAUACAAUUUUUAUCUUUAGUAGCUGUGUUUGGGCCUAUAUGUGUUGUUUACUGUGUUUGCAGUGAGCUUUUAGCCUAAAUAAUUUCGCUGGUAUUGAUUUAGUCAAACUUAUACCUCAUACCGUGUACUUAGUCAAGUGUGUGUGUGUGUGUGUGUGUGUGUGUGUGUGUGUGUGUGUGUGUGUGUGUGUGUGUGUGUGUGUGUGUGUGUGUGUGUGUGUGUGUGUGUGUGUGUGUGUGCGCGCGCGCUCGUGCGUGCGUGUGUGUGUGUGUGUGUGAUUUUAUCUUUUGUGGCAUGGUGGUCGUGUCGGGAUAUAGGUAUGACUCGGAGAGUGGUAAAUGUUCAACACAUUGUUUAUUCUAACAGAGACACAAGGUAAACCAGCUUGAGUUCUGGAGGUGGUCCAUGAAGCAUCUCUCGAACACAGGUAAACAAACAGUUUAUAUUGGGAGUUAUACCAUCAUAGACCUAUAAUUAUCAUAUAUCUGUUAUAGAGUUAUUGAUCAUCCAUAGCGGUAAACUACCAUCAUAGAUCUAUAAUUAUCACUAUCUGUUAAAUCCAAAGGAAACAUCUGGUUACAUCCAGUGGCGUGCACACAUGGACACUAGGUGGUGCUAACGCACCAGGACUUUUGCCCUUUAUCAACGAAAAUGCCCUUUUGAUUUUUUUUUUUUUUUUUUAUAUUAUUAACAUUUUACUGAGGCCGGUUUUGAAAUGAUCUUUUAAAAACCUAAGCGAUUAAAAACGACUGAAACAAUCCCCAAAAAUGAGCCACGUCCCCCUUGCACAGACCAGACUAAAUUCUCUUCCUUUGUCACGCGCACUCGCGCUGGCAAGCGCAGGGCACCACAUGCGCUUCAGUAAAGAGAAGCGUCUCCAGCAUAGCAGGCACGGUCGCAGACAGGCAUCUUCUCCCGUGUUCCCACCAGCCAGGUAACAUACAGAUCAAGUAAAAUCGUAUAGUUUGCCCUCU